AGAAAGAUAUUGGGUAAUCUGAGCAAAUUUUUUUAUAAAAUGAAUUGAGAAAGAUGAAUAAAUCAUUUUUGUGACCCAGUAUCGGUGAGAGAAAAGUCUGUUUUAGCGAUAGAGAACAGUAACGUGAGUGAAUGAAUGUAAUCACUUUUGAAGCAUAGAUUAGUCCUUGUACCUUUUGCAUCAUGGUCUAGUAACUUUCUACUCUAAGGGGGUAUCCCGAUGACUUAAUGAGCUAUUUUCUGACUUAGGGUUGGUGUUGAAUAACUAUCCUUAGAUGGGAAAAUAGAGGUGAUAUGCCUUACGCAUUGGUAGAUAGCUGGUUGGCCCAGAAAUAUAUCUAAGUAUAGUUCACCCUCAGCAAGAUUUAAAAUAGGGUUUUGGAGUGAGUACAGCUUUUCCAGGCUAAGCUGGAGGGGCUUAAUUUAAGGAUAGUUUAUUUGGAUUUGGCGGACUAAAGUGGGUUUAAGUUAGCCAUCUUUUGGAGUUUGUUAAUAAUCAGGUGCCCGCGAACAUAAAAAUUUUUUUUGAUUCCUUUAAUUUUAUGGGCCCAUCCCAUAUAAUUAUUUUUAUGGGAGAGUUAAUGCUAGGAUGAGUAGCUGUUUAUUAGAGUUUUGAGGUUGUUUUCGAGGGAUAGGUUCUAUAAAUUACCAUUAUAGCAGGUUAAGCAAAGUUAAAUGAAUUCGGCAAAUAAAAAAAUCGACUGUUUAUCAAAUACAUAGCCUUCUGAUCAUACACGGAAGGUGGGGCCUUCCCGGUGAGUUGCUGACUUAAACGGACGCUUUAAUCGGCUUAAAGUAACGAUAACUCUUGAUUGGAGUUUCAGUGAAAGGCUUUACGAAUUUUUUUCUGUAUCUAGCUUGUUGUAGUAAAAUUGAACUGAAAGUGCAAAUGCUUUCAUUACAUAGGAGGGCGAGAAGACCCCGUGAAGUUUUUAGUUUACCGCAGAGUGAGAGGAAGUAGAAAAUGCUCUUGUUUAGAGAUAUUGUCUACAUAUCUGGAGGCUUAGUGGGUAGGCUUUGGCUGGGGCAGCAGAGGAGCAGUUUAGACUCCUUACUAGAUUAUUUAGGUAUAUGUAGAUCCACCGCACAUGAUUUUGGUGAUUAGCAGAAGAAGUUACUCCGGGGAUAACAGCGUAAUUCCUCUAGAGAGUUCUUAUUGGUAGAGGGGUUUGCGACCUCGAUGUUGACUUAAGGCAUCCUGGAGUUUGCAGAAGGCUCCAAGGGUUGGUUCGUUCGCCCAUUAAAGCCUUACACGAGUUGAGUUCAGACCGGCGAAAGCUAGGUCGGUUUCUAUCCUCUUUGUAAAAGUAAAAGUAGCGUGUACGCAAGGAUAGUUACUUUCGGGGGUUAUCCCGGCAAAAACGGAUUAACCGAUAAUAUAGGGUUAAGUGUGCAAGUAACGCAGAUAGAGCGUGU
rnacentral:rRNA from 1 species